GGGGGUGUGGCUUAGGGGAAAAGCCUGUGCUUUGCAUACAGAAGGCCUCGGGAUCAAACCCCCAGCAUUUCCU
rnacentral:tRNA from 1 species